AACGUAGGAGACAAACGUUAUCCGGAGUUACUGGGCGUAAAGGGCGUGUAGGCGGUUUGUUAAGUCUGGCGUGAAAGCUCUCGGCUAAACCGGGAGAGGUCGUUGGAUACUGGCAAACUAGAGGAUGGUAGAGGCGUGUGGAAUUCCGGGUGUAGUGGUGAAAUGCGUAGAGAUCCGGAGGAACACCGGUGGCGAAGGCGGCUUCCUGGACCGACACUGACGCUGAGGCGCGAAAGCUAGGGGAGCAAACGGG
rnacentral:rRNA from 1 species